CAGGGUUUGACGUUAUUAUGUAGAACCUUUCCACCCUGGUGUGCUCAAAGUCUCCUUCUAGACGGGGCUCCAACCCUUAACUCUGCAAAUCAAAAAGUCUGUUAACCAACCUAACUCCCAACCUCCACACGCCCCCAAAAGCCAGCUUUACUCAGCAUAUGAAUUCUGCGCUUCCUUCACCCCCAGAAUGCAAGAGCGCUGCUGCUUUAAAAGUUACGCCCUUUGGAGGGGUUUCCUGUACUAGCAAAAUCUGUUGUAAACGAACAUCAAGAACUGCCUCGAGGGGGAAAACAGGGCCUGGAAUCUACACCAACUGGCACCACCCAGCUUAUGAGAAACUUGGAGAAAAAAAGGAGCCCAGCUCUGCUGCCUGUCAGCCAUGGGCCCAACCGUAUGGAAAUGAAUCCUUGUCUUUUUUUAGACCCAUAGCAGUAUCUUCACUUCUAAAUUUAAGUGAUACACUGCUAAAGUUAACUUAGCCGUUAAGCUAUGCUUCGGAGUUAAGCUGCCUGCAUUUUAAAUCUGAGCUUCACCACUUACUAGUUUUGUUUUUGUUUUGUUUUGACUCUGGACAAGCCUCCAUUUUCUCAUCUGAAAAAGGGAAUCACAGUUGCCCCAGAGUUGAUGGGAGGAAGCCUCAAUGAACAUCCUCAAAGCACUUGGGCCAGCCCUCGGUACCGAGUUAACGCUCAGUAAUUUAUACACCGACAUCAUUCAUCAUAAUCCAUGUCACAUCCCCCCCGGCCACUACUUUUCUGUUGGGCAAACACCUCAAAGAUCCCAAAGCGGGCUCUUCUCAGAUGUCCCCCGCUUAGGGGUGGUGCCCUUGCACCAGAACUGGGCCCCUGUGCGUCCCCCUACCUGAGCUCUGCCUGCGAAGCUGCCCCCUGUCCCGUCUGGGAAUCACGGCCACGCUCAUCUCGGCUUCUAAAGAGAUCCAACGGACGGCGUUUCCUUUGGGACAACGGCUCCAGAUGCCACUCUGCUGUUACCUGUUCCCCUCCGGUGUGGGCCUGUCUUUCCUGCUCACGUUGUUUACCCCAAACGCAUUAUACCCUAUUUCCACGGUGUGCGGGAGAAUGCUCUUCAAGUCCUCAGUUCCAGUAGAACCAGUUACGUUCUCUGGUUUUCCGACUGGAUUCAGAUCCCUACACUGAAUCCUGCUGGCCCUCCGAGAGUAGAGAAGAUGGUCUCUCAGCGCCUUGAAGCCUUGAAUUUAACUCCUUUCAGAGAAAUUUGAAACUUCCUAACAGCCCCUCCUCCCCCUGACCACCCUCGCACACAAUACAUGCUUUCCUUCAUCUAAUUCUUCAGCCCUUAUGGCAAGUAGAUAUUCAAAUAUUAAAUCUGUCUCAGGUAUCUUCUUCAUAAAAAAUUAAGGGAAGACGUCUGUGUUAACAACAUUUUAACAUGAGAUAAUAAACAAACUGCAGUAAUUGGAUAGUUUUCUUCUGAAGGUCAUAUGCCUCCGCAAAAAUCACCCUGGCAAAUGUGCAGUUUGCAAGAGUGAUCACACCUUACGUUCAGAUACUGUGCUUUUUCGUGUUCAAGGAACAUUCUUUAAAUGUUAAUUAGUUACUCCACCAAAUAUCCUAGGAGGUGUGGAUUAGUAUCUGCUUAAUGCAGAUGGAGAUUCAAAGAGAGAGCAAGGCUGAGUUGGCCUCACAUCACACAGUGAUUCUGAGGCAGGAAGUUUUAGCUAAAUCCUCAUAAAUGGACCAGAAAUAAGUCACAAGUGGGGCUGAGAGAUCAAAGGUUAUUUAUCCUAAAUUUCUUAGAGAUUUAUUCUAUUCUUUGAUUUGCAUGAACCCCCUGAGAAACACUUUCAUCUCCCCCCUUUAAAUCAGAAAUUCACUUAUGCCAAGUCUCCAGUUAAAAGAUGUUACAAUCGGGGGCUUCCCUGGUGGUGCAGUGGUUGAGAGUCCGCCUGCCGAUGUAGGGGACGUGGGUUCGUGCCCCGGUCCGGGAGGAUCCCACGUGCCGCGGAGCGGCUGGGCCCGUGAGCCGUGGCCGCUGAGCCUGCGCGUCCGGAGCCUGUGCUCUGCAACGGGAGAGGCCACAGCAGUGAGAGGCCCGCGUACCGC
ensembl:lncRNA